rnacentral:rRNA from 1 species
GGCGAACGGGUGAGUAACACGUGAGUAACCUGCCCUGAACUCUGGGAUAAGCACUGGAAACGGUGUCUAAUACUGGAUACGACCUAUCACCGCAUGGUGUGUGGGUGGAAAGAUUUAUCGGUUCUGGAUGGACUCGCGGCCUAUCAGCUAGAUGGUGAGGUAAUGGCUCACCAUGGCGACGACGGGUAGCCGGCCUGAGAGGGUGACCGGCCACACUGGGACUGAGACACGGCCCAGACUCCUACGGGAGGCAGCAGUGGGGAAUAUUGCACAAUGGGCGCAAGCCUGAUGCAGCAACGCCGCGUGAGGGAUGACGGCCUUCGGGUUGUAAACCUCUUUUAGUAGGGAAGAAGCGAAAGUGACGGUACCUGCAGAAAAAGCACCGGCUAACUACGUGCCAGCAGCCGCGGUAAUACGUAGGGUGCAAGCGUUGUCCGGAAUUAUUGGGCGUAAAGAGCUCGUAGGCGGCUUGUCGCGUCUGCUGUGAAAACCCGGGGCUCAACCCCGGGCCUGCAGUGGGUACGGGCAGGCUAGAGUGCGGUAGGGGAGAUUGGAAUUCCUGGUGUAGCGGUGGAAUGCGCAGAUAUCAGGAGGAACACCGAUGGCGAAGGCAGAUCUCUGGGCCGCUACUGACGCUGAAGAGCGAAAGCAUGGGGAGCGAACAGGAUUAGAUACCCUGUAGUCCAUGCCGUAAACGUUGGGAACUAGAUGUAGGGCCUGUUCCCGGGUUCUGUGUCGUAACUAACGCAUUAAUUUCCCCCCCUGGGGAAUACGGCCCCAAGGCUAAAACUCAAAG